rnacentral:rRNA from 1 species
ACAGAUCGUUCAGAGUUUGAUCCUGGCUCAGGAUGAACGCUGGCGGCGUGCAUAACACAUUCAAGUCGAACGGACAGUAGAAAUACUGUUAGUGGCGGACGGGUGAGUAACGCGUGAGCAAUCUGCCUUCAAGUGGGGAAUAACAGGGAGAAAUCGCUGCUAAUACCGCGUAAUACAUCGAGGUCGCAUGGCCAUGAUGUCAAAGAUUUAUCGCUUGAAGAUGAGCUUGCGUCCGAUUAGGUAGUUGGUGAGGUAACGGCCCACCAAGCCGACGAUCGGUAGCCGAACUGAGAGGUUGAACGGCCACAUUGGAACUGAGAUACGGUCCAG